AAUAUUGUAGUAAUUUAUUAAACAUUCAUGUUGAUACAUUGGGCUUAAAUGUACCUACAAAAUAUUAUUUAUAAUGUUUUGGAACUGUAGCAAAUCAAAGAUGAUUGACUCUAAUUUUAGCCCAAAGCAGGUGUUUAUCAUUUUAAUGAAUCUUGUCACACAGGAUCACAAGAGUUUUCACAAUUUCUGUAGCUGGUUUCAUGUGCAUUUGGCAAUACUAUCGCAUCUUUCUGACAGAUAGUUUUCCUCUGAGCUGUUUGGACUCUACUUGGAUCCUACACAUGGCUCAGGGCUCCCUUCUCCCAAGAUUCCCCCAGAUCCAGAUAACACAGACAUGUCUCUGGCUCUCCUUCCACUCCCCUCUGCCUCCUGUCUCACAUGAACCACAUCUAGCUCUGCUGCUCUGACCAAGGACAGAAGACACCUGUGCCUUAGCUUAGCCAUUGUCCCAGGAGAGCAGCUAGCUUGUUUUGUGAAGUUAUCACUAAAAAAUUUGUCAUUACAGGAGUUCCCAUUGUGGCUCAGCAAUAAAGAACCCGACUACUAUGCAUGAGGGUGUGGGUUUGAACCCUGACCUAGCUCAGUAGGUUAAGGAUCCGGCGUUGCUGUGAGCUGUGGUGUAGGCCACAGACGAGGCUCAGAUCUGGUGUUGCUGUGGCUGUGGUGUAGGACGGCAGCUCUGUUUCGACCCCUAGCCUGGGAAUUUAGGGCCGUGGGUAUAUCCCUAAGAAGAAGAAAAAAUUGCCAUUGCUUUAGGAUUUUCAGUGACUAGAAAUUAAAAAGGAAGACGGAAAAUGAAAAGAGUGUUAGAAUUGUGUGGAACACUACAUUCAACACACCUGUAAGGGGAGACCCAGAAGGAGGGCAGACAGAGAAAGAAGUCAAAAAAUAUUUGAUUAAAUAACAGGUGAAAAGUUCAAAAUAUGGAUAAAAACCCAGACCAUUAAUCCCAAAACCAAGAAGCUCAGUGAACUCCAAGUAGGAGAAAGUAUCAUAGCUGAAUGGGCAAGAUUUCCCCUAUGCCUCCUUCCCUUCCAUCCUAGAUCUCAUCAUCUCAUUGCCAGCCCAGCCUCUCUUCAAAUAGCACCCCUGGUUCGUUCUCUCCCACAAAAUCUUCUGUGUUAUGUUCACAAGUGGGAAGUGCUGAGAUGGAACUACUUCUGGGGUCUAUGACAUCAUUGAGACAUGAUGCUUCUUUUUUUUUAACCUAGAAACCUAAGUGCUCGAAAAGGCAAAGUAAUGCCAACACUGCUGCACGUGUGCACGGGAGGUAGCUGCCCACCUUCUCCAAAUAACAUCAUCUACAUGAGAGCUUUUUUUUUUUAUUGCAUUGUAAGGGAUUCUCUUUUUUUUUUUUUUUUUUUUUUUUUUUUUUUGAACUUGAUGGCCACACUUGUGGCAUAUGGCAUAUGGAAGUUCCCGGGCCAGGGAAUGAAUUCUAGCCACAGCUUUGGCAACGCCAGAUCCUUUAUCUCACUGUGCUGGGCCAGGGAUAAAACCUGCACCUCCUCAGGGACCAGAACUGCUUCAGUCAGACUCUUAACCCACCAGUCCAGGGUGGAAACUCCAACAAGCGACUCUUUUUUCAAUUAGGUUUUAAAUUGUGGUAAGAAUAUACAUAAUGUAAAAUUUUACCUAUGAAACAAUUUUAAAUGUACAGUUCAGUGGCCUUAAGUCCAUUCACACUGUUGUGCUCUUUUCCACCUUAAAUUUUCAUCUUCCCAAAUUGAAACUCUGAACUCAUUAAACAGUACCUCCUAAUUACCCCUUUCCUCUAGCCCUGAGGAGUCACCAUCAUACUUUGUGUCUGAGAAUUUGCAAGAGAUUCUUACAUAAAUGCAAAAGCCUGAAGCAUGGUCGUUUCUUCAGCCUUAUACCUCAUUUUUUACUUACCUUAAUAAGGAGGCAAACCCCAGCAAAGAGAGACUGUAAGAAAAGUGGGAGGGAUGAAGGGCUGGCUGGGGAGGGGACAAGUCAUCACAAAUAAACCCACCUGAAUUUUGUUCUGGGGGUUAUGCCACCUAAAAUCUUGAAAUGAUUCCAAAUGUACUUGGCAGAUUUUGUGGAUUUCGGAGAGUGUUUCACGUGUGUGUAAGAAGACAUUUCCUUUGAGCUCUUGUGACUGGCCCUGGGCUGCCCCCCUCUUCUGUAUCUCAGGGUGGAGGUGGCUUUCUCCUGGGACACCCGCUUUUCCCAGACAAACUCAGACCCCUUUUAUCGGGGUCACCAGCCCUCCCUUCAGUGAUUCUGCUCUAGUUAGGAUGAAUCGCCAGUGUCUAGCUCCUCCUGACUCCAUGCUCUGCCCCAGGGCACAGGCACCAGGCUUCUGUGGAUGGGAAGCCUGCCUUAGCUACUGGCUACUGGGCCAGGAGGGAAGUCCCUGGUGGGGUUUCUGUCCAUGAGCUUGUCAUGGUUUUAUGACUUUCCGGUCAAGUCAGCAGAGCUUCCAAAGCACAGAGGUUGAAAGUAGAGAAAGCAAGUGAGAGGAAUUGUAUCCCUUUCUGCUAGUUUUCAGGGUGCAAAAUGCGUGUUUGUUUGUCUUUUUAGGGGCCCACCUGAAGCAUGUGGAGGUUCCCAGGGACAAACUUACCAAGGCAUAUCUGUGUAUAGCCAGUUGGAUUUUCUAUGUGUUUGUGGAUAUUUCUAUUGAAGAUUGUGAAAACUGUAAAAAUUCAGGUGGUAAAAGUCACUGUGAGGGAGUUUCCGUGGUGGCUCAGUGGUUAACGAAUCCGACUAGGAACCAUGAGAUUGCGGGUUCAAUCCUUGGCCUUACUCAGUAGGUUAAGGAUCUGGCAUUGCUGUGAGCUGUGGUAUAGGUUGCAGAUGCAGCUCAGAUCCUGUGUUGCUGUGGCUCUGGUGUAGGCCGGAAGCUACAGCUC
rnacentral:lncRNA from 1 species